CUUUUCAGUGUGCUCCAAGGCGAGGGUAGUACACGUUGCGUGCAACACAUCACUAGUUCGGAUAAUGAUGAAGAGUCGGUGUAGUGGCACCGACUAAGUAGGUGCGGUAUGCGAUUCGAUCGUCGUGGCUAUGACGAACAGUGACACAACUAUAAGUGACUAUAUAGCUUUUGUUAGUUGAGUCAAGUGAUGAAGGAUUUUCGACUUGCUGGGUGAAAGCCCCAAUCCGACCUUCAUUCGUUAGGGGAGAACCAGGGUGCACUCUAGGGAUGAAAACCAUUGUUUGGCCUUCACGGGAUGUUUCGAUAACUUUGAUGUAUGACUAUUACCAUGUUCCUGA